AAUACAACAAAAGUUGAACAACAACAAGUACACAAAAUGUGCAAACCAAACAGUGGAAAACAAUAAAAACAUUGAGAUACAUACAAAUAUUUACUUCUUUCUCUAGUAGAAAUUAUUCAAAUAGAAUUAUUGUAAAUGAUAUGUUUGUUUUGUCUAUAAGUUAUAUGUAUGAACAUGUUUUGUUGCAGUAUUGAGGGAUUUAUUUGUGUUUGGUCUGUGUGCUGGUCUGUGUAGAUAUUUACUGUCUUCUCAUGAUGACGUAACGAUGACGCGCUAGCAAAAAGGAAGUAGUUUCAGCUAGACAUUUAGCAAACACACACAUCUGUAUUACUUCUCAGAUUACAGUUUGUAGUGGCACUUUUUCAAAAGUAAUACACUACAUUAAUUGCGCUACUUCUUCUUCAGUUGUCUGCCAAGUUGCCCCGCUUUAGCGUCGCUCUGGGAGAUAAAACCUGACAUAAAGUGAACAGAGAGUCUGAAUGUUGUCAGAACACACAGACAGGAACAGUGAAAAGCCCGUCAACUGUCUCUCCAGUCCAAGUUAGCGACGUAAUUCCUCUUUCUGUUUUAUUUGUGUGCUUAAAAUAACCGUACUUUCCAAAAUCAUUCUUUUUGACGAUACUGGGGGAGUGGUUGAGGUGGAGGUGGAGGAGGGGGAUGGAGAACGAGAAGCGCAGUUUCGUGUUGUCGGGAAUCAGGCGUUGCGCAUGCGCAGUAUAGAUCAGUACUUUCCACCUGCCAUGGGCUCUAACACAAUGGCUUUCAGCACAGUACAUGCCACAAUAGUCUGCAUUUGUUAGAGAUACACCGUCAGAGAGCUGGUGGACAGCUGUUGGUAGACAGGCCGCUGGCGCCCAUGACACAUAUCUGGAUGGAUUCACUCAGUCGACACGAGCCCUCCUCUGGACGCAGCUUUAACCUCUACAUCGAAGGUUAAGGAAUUAACGCACCUCACAAACGCUGGACCAUAAAACCCUUAUAUCCCAUAAAAGUGGCGUAAAGGUUCACAAAACUCCCACUCAGCGUACAUCGAGUUGGAUGUGCUUUAUGAGUCAGAAAAUAAGAAGCCGCAGCACCUGCUCCAAGUCAAGAGAGAGAGAUAGCAUCACAAUAACAGCAACCUCCUGGGACAGUCAAGGAAAGCUGCCAUCAAGGGCAUCGCACAGGUGGUGAUUACUCACGUUACCAUGGCAGCACCUGGCAUGACUUAGUUGUCGGGACAGAACUUGUGUUGUGGACAUCUGGAGCUCAGCAGUGUGGCUUGUUCAGCGGUCUCUCCCUCAGACUUUCCCUCUUCUGUCCAGCUGUGCCACAGUCAGGCUGCCCAUCACCAUGCAGAGACAGGAGAGGUGGGCAAGAACUGUUCUUAAGUACAAAUUCAAGCCCACUUUGCUCUUUCCACAGAAAUUAUAUGAUAACAGCAGCUGACAGAUUGGCUCAACUUUUGACUGGACUGUGGUUUAUUGGCUAUUUGCAGUUGACAGUUAUCUUCCAGAUAAACCAUUUAUUACACAGUGAAGUGCAGCUAAGAAACACUUUCAAACGUGGAGUAUAUGUGAUGAGGAGGAUCUGUCUUUGUAAUUUUCUAUCUCUAUGGCCGUAUCCAAUCAGAGUUAAGGAGCUCCAUUGCAUCUCAGAAUGAAGAUAAAGUGCAGUACUUCAACCAGGGACUCUAAUGAGACAGACUGGAACGGCUCUGCAGAUGAACC